GUUGUCGCCGCGCUGGUGUUCAGCUGAGGACUCCUGGCAUCGGGAAAACUUAACCUGUAGGAGCUUUCAGAGAGGAAGUAGUCCUUGUGUGUGCAGUACCAUCUCCAGCCUCACCUGGGAACACCUUCUGUCUGCUCACACCACGGUGAAAUGAGGCAGCACAGUUAGGAACGCACAGGAAUGCGCAUGGAAUUACACCCACUGGAAAGCCUUAUCCGCGGACCUGUUGCUGCCUCCCACAGAGAGGGUCUAAAAAAAGCGCAGCAGCCUCCGAGGGUGGAUGUCAGCAGCGGGAUUACGGAUUCUGACCCUCCCAACCCAAGAUGUUUUCCCAGUUUUGAGCCCAAAGUGAAGGGGGCCUGACAAAUCUUUGUGAACAGAAGCUGCCACGAUUUGGACAGCCUGGUUUCAGUGCUGG